AAGGCACCAACAACUGAAGAACCCAACCAUAAAAGGUGAGACACCUUCCAACAAUCAAUUACAAAAACCAAACAAAAGGGAGGGAGGGAGAGAGAGAGAGAUUUCAGAUUUAUAACACUAUAAUACACGGACACGGGUAGCUAGAGAGUAGAGACAGAGAGCAGCAGGAGGCAAAGGCAUGGAGCCUCACAUGGAGGGCGCGCUGCGGCAGGGCCUGUCGGAGGCGGAGCAGCGGGAGCUCGAGUCCGUGGUGCGCGCGCACCACACGUUCCCGGGUCGCGCGCCGGGGACGUGCACGUCGCUGGUGACGCAGCGCGUGGACGCGCCGCUCGCCGCCGUGUGGCCCAUCGUGCGCGGCUUCGCCAGCCCGCAGCGCUACAAGCACUUCAUCAAGUCCUGCGACCUCCGGUCCGGCGACGGCGCCACCGUCGGCAGCGUCCGCGAGGUCACCGUCGUCUCCGGCCUCCCGGCCUCCACCAGCACCGAGCGCCUCGAGAUCCUCGACGACGACCGCCACAUCCUCAGCUUCCGCGUCGUCGGCGGCGACCACCGCCUCCGCAACUACCGCUCCGUCACCUCCGUCACCGAGUUCCAGCCGGGGCCCUACUGCGUCGUCGUCGAGUCCUACGUCGUCGACGUCCCCGAGGGGAACACCGAGGAGGACACGCGCAUGUUCACCGACACCGUCGUCAAGCUCAACCUCCAGAAGCUCGCCGCCAUCGCCACCUCCUCCUCAUCCUCGCCGCGGCCCUCCGGCGGCGGCGGCGGCGGCACGGAUCACUGAUCCAUCGCGCCCAUCAUGUCUUCUCUUCAAUCCUCAUGGGGCACCACCACACAUGCCUGCAUGCCUAUCAAGUGGAUCAUGUGAUGUGUGGGGAUCAACAAGGGAAAAUUGCUACGGGUACAAACUGGAGGGGAGGACACUUCACCUUCGCUUAAUUGCCUCUAUGCUCGACUGCGUCCAACCUUUUAUGCCAUCACCUAAUGAAGAAACUCUACUGAUCAUCAUGGUUGCUGAUGGAUUGCUUUCAACAUCUUUCCCAUAUGCCUCUUGGCUCUAUGGCAUGUUGCCAACCGUCAACGACCAUGCCAAUGCCAUGCUGCUCUAGCCCUGCACGUCCCCAACAUACCAAUCUUAGUAGAAAUAAUUACAUAUUGUGGAAUUAGAGAAAGGAUGGAUAUAUGUCAUAAAGUGCGUCAAAGGGUCUGCACAUGAUGUCCUUUUUAAAAUGCCAUAGAACUUAUAAGGUUUGGCUUUCUACUAUAUAUAUGUGAAGUAUCGUCGUCCCGCUCAUCAAAAUAAUAUAUAUUGGUUGUGAGAAGUCCCGGUAACAUAU